rnacentral:snRNA from 1 species
AUAUGUACCUGGCAGGGGAGAUACCAUGAUCAUGAAGGUGGUUUUCCCAGGGUGAAGCUUAUCCAUUGUACUCCGGAUAUGCUGACCCCUGUGAUUUCCCCAGAUGUAGGAAACUCAACUACA